UGGGGAAUAUUGGUCAAUGGGCGAGAGCCUGAACCAGCCAAGUCGCGUGAAGGAAGACUGCCUUAUGGGUUGUAAACUUCUUUUAUACAGGAAUAAAAAGGCUUACGUGUAGGCCAUUGCAAGUACUGUAUGAAUAAGCAUCGGCUAACUCCGUGCCAGCAGCCGCGGUAAUACGGAGGAUGCGAGCGUUAUCCGGAUUUAUUGGGUUUAAAGGGUGCGCAGGCGGGCUUUUAAGUCAGCGGUGAAAUCUGGACGCUUAACGUCCAAACUGCCGUUGAAACUGGGAGUCUUGAGUAUGGAUGAAGUAGGCGGAAUUCGUUGUGUAGCGGUGACAUGCAUAGAUAUAACGAGGAACUCCGAUUGCGUAGGCAGCUUACUAAGCCAUAACUGACGCUCAUGCACGAAAGCGUGGGGAUCAAACAGGAUUAGAGUACCCUGGUAGUCCACGCCGUAAACGAUGAUUACUAGUUGUAUGCGAUAUGAUAGUAUGUGACUAAGCGAAAGCGAUAAGUAAUCCACCUGGGGAGUACGCCGGCAACGGUGAAACUC
rnacentral:rRNA from 1 species